UACGAAGGUCCCAAGCGUUGUUCGGAAUCACUGGGCGUAAAGGGAGCGUAGGCGGCGUGGUAAGUCAGAUGUGAAAUCCCGGGGCUCAACCCCGGAACUGCAUCCGAUACUGCCAUGCUAGAGGAUUGGAGAGGUAGCUGGAAUCUUGGUGUAGCAGUGAAAUGCGUAGAGAUCAAGAGGAACACUCGUGGCGAAAGCGAGCUACUGGACAAUUCCUGACGCUGAGGCUCGAAGGCUAGGGUAGCGAAAGGG
rnacentral:rRNA from 1 species